AGAGUUUGAUCCUGGCUCAGGAUGAACGCUGGCGGCGUGCUUAACACAUGCAAGUCGAGCGAAGCGGUUUCGAUGAAGUUUUCGGAUGGAAUUGAAAUUGACUUAGCGGCGGACGGGUGAGUAACGCGUGGGUAACCUGCCUUACACUGGGGGAUAACAGUUAGAAAUGACUGCUAAUACCGCAUAAGCGCACAGGGCCGCAUGGUCUGGUGUGAAAAACUCCGGUGGUGUAAGAUGGACCCGCGUCUGAUUAGGUAGUUGGUGGGGUAACGGCCCACCAAGCCGACGAUCAGUAGCCGACCUGAGAGGGUGACCGGCCACAUUGGGACUGAGACACGGCCCAAACUCCUACGGGAGGCAGCAGUGGGGAAUAUUGGACAAUGGGCGAAAGCCUGAUCCAGCGACGCCGCGUGAGUGAAGAAGUAUUUCGGUAUGUAAAGCUCUAUCAGCAGGGAAGAAAAUGACGGUACCUGACUAAGAAGCCCCGGCUAACUACGUGCCAGCAGCCGCGGUAAUACGUAGGGGGCAAGCGUUAUCCGGAUUUACUGGGUGUAAAGGGAGCGUAGACGGCUGUGCAAGUCUGAAGUGAAAGCCCGGGGCUCAACCCCGGGACUGCUUUGGAAACUGUAUAGCUAGAGUGCUGGAGAGGUAAGUGGAAUUCCUAGUGUAGCGGUGAAAUGCGUAGAUAUUAGGAGGAACACCAGUGGCGAAGGCGGCUUACUGGACAGUGACUGACGUUGAGGCUCGAAAGCGUGGGGAGCAAACAGGAUUAGAUACCCUGGUAGUCCACGCCGUAAACG
rnacentral:rRNA from 1 species